rnacentral:rRNA from 1 species
AGAGUUUGAUCCUGGCUCAGGAUGAACGCUAGCGGCAGGCCUAACACAUGCAAGUCGAACGGUAAGAUCCAGCUUGCUGGAUACACGAGUGGCGCACGGGUGAGUAACGCGUAUGCAACCUACCUUUAACUAGAGAAUAGCCCGGGGAAACCCGGAUUAAUACUCUAUAAUAUCUUAGAUUCGCAUGUUUCCAAGAUUAAAGCUCCGGCGGUUAAAGAUGGGCAUGCGUGACAUUAGAUUGUUGGUGAGGUAACGGCUCACCAAGUCUACGAUGUCUAGGGGGCCCGAGAGGGUGGUCCCCCACACUGGUACUGAGACACGGACCAGACUCCUACGGGAGGCAGCAGUGAGGAAUAUUGGGCAAUGGACGAAAGUCUGACCCAGCCAUGCCGCGUGCAGGAUGACGGCCCUACGGGUUGUAAACUGCUUUUAUACAGGAAGAACUCCCUGAUCGUGAUCGGGGUUGACGGUACUGUACGAAUAAGCAUCGGCUAACUCCGUGCCAGCAGCCGCGGUAAUACGGAGGAUGCAAGCGUUAUCCGGAUUUAUUGGGUUUAAAGGGUGCGUAGGCGGAAAUUUAAGUCAGUGGUGAAAUCCUGCAGCUCAACUGUAGAACUGCCAUUGAUACUGAUUUUCUUGAGUCCAGUUGAGGUGGGCGGAAUGUGUAGUGUAGCGGUGAAAUGCUUAGAUAUUACACAGAACACCAAUUGCGAAGGCAGCUCACUAAACUGGCACUGACGCUGAGGCACGAAAGCGUGGGGAGCGAACAGGAUUAGAUACCCUGGUAGUCCACGCCGUAAACGAUGAUCACUCGCUGUUGGCGAUACACAGUCAGCGGCUGAGCUAAAGCAUUAAGUGAUCCACCUGGGGAGUACGAUCGCAAGAUUGAAACUCAAAGGAAUUGACGGGGGCCCGCACAAGCGGAGGAACAUGUGGUUUAAUUCGAUGAUACGCGAGGAACCUUACCUGGGCUUAAAUGCAGAACGACGAUUCGGGAAACCGAUUCUCCCUUCGGGGCGGACUGCAAGGUGCUGCAUGGUUGUCGUCAGCUCGUGCCGUGAGGUGUCGGGUUAAGUCCCAUAACGAGCGCAACCCCUAUUGUUAGUUGCCAGCGGAUAAUGCCGGGGACUCUAACGAAACUGCCGGUGUAACCGUGAGGAAGGUGGGGAUGACGUCAAAUCAGCACGGCCCUUAUGUCCAGGGCUACACACGUGUUACAAUGGCCGGUACAAAGGGCUGCUACUCCGCGAGGAGAUGCAAAUCUCGAAAGCCGGUCUCAGUUCGGAUUGGAGUCUGCAACUCGACUCCAUGAAGCUGGAUUCGCUAGUAAUCGCGUAUCAGCAACGACGCGGUGAAUACGUUCCCGGGCCUUGUACACACCUCCCGUCAAGCCAUGGAAGCUGGGGGUACCUGAAGUCUGUAACCGUAAGGAGCGGCCUAGGGUAAAACUAGUGAC